AUACAGAGGGGGCAAGCGUUGUUCGGAAUUACUGGGCGUAAAGGGCGCGUAGGCGGCCUGUUAAGUCGGACGUGGAAUCCCUCGGCUCAACCGGGGAACUGCGUCUGAUACUGGCGGGCUUGAAUUCGGGAGAGGGAUGUGGAAUUCCAGGUGUAGCGGUGAAAUGCGUAGAUAUCUGGAGGAACACCGGUGGCGAAGGCGGCAUCCUGGACCGACAUUGACGCUGAGGCGCGAAAGCCAGGGGAGCAAACG
rnacentral:rRNA from 1 species